GACGAACGCUGGCGGCGUGCUUAACACAUGCAAGUCGAGCGGUAAGGCCCUUUCGGGGGUACACGAGCGGCGAACGGGUGAGUAACACGUGGGUGACCUGCCCUCAGCUCUGGGAUAAGCCUGGGAAACCGGGUCUAAUACUGGAUAUGACUCCAUGACGCAUGUUGUGGGGUGGAAAGCCUUGUGCGGCUGAGGAUGGGCCCGCGGCCUAUCAGCUUGUUGGUGGGGUGANGGCCUACCAAGGCGACGACGGGUAGCCGGCCUGAGAGGGCGACCGGCCACACUGGGACUGAGACACGGCCCAGACUCCUACGGGAGGCAGCAGUGGGGAAUCUUGGGCAAUGGGCGCAAGCCUGACCCAGCAAUACCGCGUGAGGGAUGAAGG
rnacentral:rRNA from 1 species